GGAGUGGUUUGGAUAUAUACUAAAUGCAUUGUAUUUUUGGCUAGAACUUGUGGUCAUAACUGAUAAUAAUGUUGUUGUCAUCAAAUUUGACCUCUGCAGCAUUGAAAGGAAUUCACCUGAAAUUAAAGUGCCUCACAAUAUCAUAAGAAGUACACCGUGAAAAGAAGCAGAGUUUGUUAGUUGGCAUAUCCAAACAAAUGCCAUUAUUAAAUUGAAG